GUGAUGGUGCAUUAUCAUGAAGCAAAAUUACUUUGUGUUGCCUUUUUUGAUAUUCUGGUCGUUUUUCACGCAAAGCUUGAUUCAAAUCGAUCAUUUGUUUUAACAGCUCAUAAUAGAUCACACCCUUCUGAUCCCACCAAACACAGAGCAUUGUCUUCCGUCCAUAGCGAUUUGGUCUUGUAGUCGAUGUCGGUGGUUCGCCUGGAGCUACCCAUGAUCUUUUAUGCUUAGGAUUCUCAAAAUAUAUCCACUGUUCAUCGUCAGUCACAAUUCGGUGGAGAAAUGACUUUCUUUUGUAUCUGGCAAGCAGCAUUUCGCAAGUGGUUUUUCGGUUUUCCUGCUGUCUUUCAUUCAGUUCAUGUGGAACCCACUUUCCCACCUUCUGGAUCUUUUCCAUGGCUUUCAAACGUAUAGAGACGGCUUCUCGUGUCACGUUUAAUUGAUCAGCGAGCUGUUGUUGCGUUUGAGCGUCAUCCUCAUCCAACAAUGCUUGCAAUUCGCUGUCUUGAAACUUUUUCGGUGGUCUUCCACGUUCUUCGUUCCUCACGUCAAAAUUGCCACUUCUGAAUUGUUUAAACCACUCAAAGCACUGUGAUUUACCAAGAGCAUGCUCACCGUAAGCUUCGACAAGCAUUCGAUGCGAUUCUGCAGCAGUUUUCUUCAAAUGGUAACAGAAAAUCAAUGCUGUCCGCAAAUCAUAGUUUCCAGGCACAAAAUUUGACAUGUUCAACGCUAUUACAAACUAUGCUAUUGUAUGAAACUUGUAUUGUUCUGAGUCGAAAAUGUUUGUGAGAUGUCAACAAAGACUUUUGGCAUCAAUGACGCAGUUUAGUGAUA
rnacentral:misc_RNA from 1 species